UACGUAGGGUCCGAGCGUUGUCCGGAUUUAUUGGGCGUAAAGAGCUCGUAGGCGGCUUGGUAAGUCGGAUGUGAAAACUCGGGGCUCAACCCCGAGACGCCAUCCGAUACUGCUAUGGCUUGAGUCUGGUAGGGGAACACGGAAUUCCUGGUGUAGCGGUGAAAUGCGCAGAUAUCAGGAGGAACACCAAUGGCGAAGGCAGUGUUCUGGGCCAGUACUGACGCUGAGGAGCGAAAGCGUGGGUAGCAAACAGG
rnacentral:rRNA from 1 species